UCUUGGCAGCAUGGUGUACACAUCUUGCAAGACCAUGACAUGCCACACUCCCUCUGAAGACACGGUCAGCUAGGGCUAGCAUGUUAAAUUAGGGAUUUCAUCUCCUCCACUCCCUUUGCAGUCAAUGAAAAAGGGAGAAGGGCUGGAUCAGCAGAGGGGAUGGCAGGAGCUGCCUUCAGAGUCCAAGCACGGGCCUUCUCCUGCAUUUUCCAUGAUCUGGGAGUUUUAGGACAAUAAAAACAAGGUCUUUCUGCAAUCACCCCUCUCCAGUCUGCUAGAUCUGCAGACUGGUGUUCCAAGAGAUCAGCAGCAUAUCAGUAGGAGCAAAGUUAUCCAAAUGGUGAAGUGGUUUUGGAAACCCAGCCGUGUAACUUUGGCAUUUAAGCAAUAUUUCCUUCUGCAAAAGGAAGGAGAUGCUGCAGUGAAUCGAUACAUCCUGUGGAUAUCUUGGGUGCAUUGACUUAUGGCCCAAUAGUGCCUCCAACAACAGCAGAAGUAAUCAGAAUACAGAGCAAUAAUGCAACCUUUCGCUAUAUGGGAGCUAAGAAAUGGGGUCCGGCCUCGUACACCAGCUUCUCCUGCUUCAUACUUGAACUUUUAUUCUUAAGGCUUUCUUCUUCGCCAUCUCUUGUGGUAUUUUUUGCUUAGUACUUCUCAAAAUUACAUUUAAGCUUAUAAUAAUUUUACCAUAAGAUUUAAUCCUGGUGUGUUUGGGUGUCUCCAUAGCAAUUACUCCCCCACCCUGCAGCUCCUGCUCUGCAAAAGAACUCAUCACCUGUGAAGGGGGCAAAAUUCAGAAACACCUGAUAAUUUGGUAAGUGAUUCAGUACAAACCCUGUGUCUGUUUUGGUUAAGAAUGUAAGGAUUCAUGAAAAAAAGCUGCUUAGAUGUUGUCAUAGGACAUAACUAUUUUUUCCCUUUAUUUAUUUAUUUAUUUAUUUUCCCCUGAACAGAACUGUCUUGAAUAUCCCAUAGGCUUUGGUGGGAAUUUUAGAAAUACUGUCAAUAUUUCUAUUUCCACACACAUGCAAAAUACCCUAUGCAACAUCUUACUACUGGAGGCCUGGAGACAGGGAGAUUAUGUGCUACUCAAAUGUGCUCUUUAAAAGUUUUGAAUUUCACCAAACAUCACAGAAGUUAUCUUCAUGGUGCUUUCAGAAAGACUGAUGGUAGAGGCUUGCUGUCAUCACAUCAUCGUCUCGUUCAAGUGGCAUAAGUUAAAGUUCUGGUUAGACCGAGGAAAUGCUCAUAUGUAUGGUUCUAAGGACAACCUCUUGCUAUAAGCCUGUAAAAUGAAUAAGAUGGAUGAAGAGAGCUUAGGUUUGAACCAAUCUUUGGGUCCUCCUCAUGCCUUGAAGUCCGUCUGGCUGAUAUGGCUACGUGCAAUGGAUAAAGAGAAAAACAACUUUGAUCUUCUUCCACAGGAUUAUACAAGGUUGGACUCAGUGAAGCAUCACUGACAUCUUCGGAUGGAUUUUGAUCAAGUCAUGCUGCCAUGUGGGCAUCAGGACUGGGCUACAACUGUUACCUGCUGUAUUGGGCUGCUGUUGUUCUCCUAGGAUUUGGACUUGGUUGGCACAAGCAAAGACUUUCCACUGCCCUCCUCCCCUGGAAGCUGUCUCACAGGUAGGGUUACCCAUUACAGUCGGGGGUGCCCCUUACUCUCUGUCCUCGCAGGGCUCACGGGAUGGUGCUGAGCUGUCGGCAGCAGUUGCUCCUGUGCACGUCCACUGUCUGCAAAGUGAGUUGGGCCUUGGGCCCCCUGGAGAGCCCAGAGCCAUCUCCUGGUGGUGCUGGAGAUGGGGAGCACUCUGAAAUGUUAGAGGACACAGGGGUCUUACAUGCAUCUCUCAGGGAAUAACGCCUGGUGGUUCUUCUUGUUCGUGCUUGCUUUUAAAUCUUCACCUCCGCCUUUGGUGGGAAAAAGUAAGGUGCUUCUAUAUCCAGGACAGCAAAUCAUUGGGAAAUCCUGGGAAGAUGCACGGUGUGACGGUGGCAGUACUGGUUAUGGAUAAGGUCCUUGGUAGGGAGAAGUGUGCAAACGGGAGGAGGCUGUGCCUUGGUCCAGCUGAGGUUUCUGAAAGAUGAUUUCAUGACCUCCCGUGUGCCAAGACCAGCCUAAAGAACAAGUCAUGCUUAUGCUUUAUGCAGACCAUAUGCCACCGAUUUUUUCUGCUGAAACACGGCCAAAAUCUUUCACUGGUUGGAUGGAGGCGUGUGGAUAAUGCGCAUUAGCAAUACCAAUACCUCAUGUUUAGAGUAAAAAAUAGAUAUCUUUUAAAGCAACUGCUCUAAAGAUUUAUUAAACACCUGCUGUUACUUCCCGCUUGAUCUUCGACUAGGGCCUGCUCUGAAGAGCAAUCAAUUCUGCUUUUAAACGCAAUAUCUGAUAUUUUAAAAUACCUUAGCCCACCACCAAAUGAAAAAAUCUCUUCCCCUUAAAAGCUGGGUUGUUUGUUCUCCUGCUCCUGCCCGAGCACACGGCUGUUUCUUUCCAUUCUCUCAACUCUGGCCAGCUGUGGUUCACUUUCUGGGCUGAAGUGAGGGGGCAGAGUGGUCCUGGGUGAGAUGUUUGCAGUCGGUGGCUCGCAGACCUUCCCCAGAGGGCUCACACCGUGCUGUGAACACCGAGCCCCAUUUACUUUGUCUUCAGAUGCAUUUGAGCCUUGCUUGGGAAUGAGCAGUGCUGGGGGGCAGUGCCACAUCUCCUCCUCAGCCUGACCCCGCACAGAGCUCAGCUCUGCAGGUUCACCCCGAUGCCACAAGCACGUCUCCCUCCUGCCACCCUCCGUGUCCUGUGGAGCCCCGCGGCCUCUUCUGCGGCUUAGCCGUGGCCGCGUGGCUGCUAAUCCCAUCUCCUCGCCCCUCUGGGGGGGCUAAACUGUCUGACCUGCGACCCCCAGCUGGUCUGAGACCUCCAUCAAUCCUUCUGAAAAGUUUUACUGGAAUCAGGGCUUCCAAAUGACCCUUUGCAUAGUUUCUAAAAAAAAAAAAAAAAAAAAAAAGGAAAGAAAGAAAGAAAAAACACCCAAGAAAAAUCCAGCCCUGUGCUGUUUUCUGUUGUUUUAGCAGAAACCAAACAUAACUCGUAAAAAACACAGGCAAGAAAAAUAGAGCGCGCCGGCUGCCAGAAAAACAAACCGUAGCAGAACACGGAGGGGCCUCUCGCGGGGAGGAGGCAGGGAAGAAACACCUGCGAUUUCCAUCGAGGCUCCCCUGACACCCACGUUCCCCCCGCCCUGCUCCAGCCUGCUCUGGCUUCGGCCCCGGCGCCGGGUCUCGGUGCGAGGGGUCCCUCCUCAUCCUCGUGGGCUGCUUGGACGCGGCCCCAAGCGCCGGCCCCGUGAAUCACAGCAGCUGAUGAGCACAGAGCGUGCCUGCCAAUUGUCCUCAUGUCAUUGCUAUGGUUAUCUUAAAAGUGCUCUGCAGAUGUUUGCCUGCUUGGAGAAAAAAAAAAAAAAAAAGAAAGAAAAAAGGAAGAUGAAAACAAAGCUUUAAAUUUUUUCUCCGCAACUGUUAUACCGCAAGUAUGAAGAAGCUUGGAUGGAGGUGGGGCUGUUGGUGCUGGUGGGGUUUGGGGCCCUGGUGGUCCCUGGAGGCUCUGGUGGGGUUAAGAUGCCAGGUGGCCCUGUUGUGCCACGGGACAUGCUGGGUGCACCCUGCGAUGGGCGAGCAGGCAGUGGGGAUGGCUGCAGGCACCCAGGACAUGUGUAUGGUGCUUGGACGGGCUCACUGGUGCUCCAACCCUUCCCUGAGCAGAGAAAUAUCCAUGGGGGCUGUGCUCAGCCAUGAGGCAUCAAUUCUGCUAGCAGAAAUGUGUUUCUGCGUGUGAUUUCCCAAAGCUCCUGGAUCACAACGCACAGGGCCAGUGGGGCUUGGAGAGGGGACCUGAGACUCAACGUGGACCUGAGCGUGGAGCUGAAACAUUUGUCUCGGUGGUUUUACGGCUUUGUCAGGCUUGGUGUUUAUAGGAGGCGGGAAGAUAAAUGAUGCGAGAGGUGAGUGCUGAGGGUGUAAUUCAGCGGCCGUAUCAAGCAGGCCCUCCAGGAACAACUUCUCCUUUCAGCCGCUGCACCGCUUCUGCCAGCAGGAUGAAUGCACUGCCAGGGCUCAUCCAAAUGCCCUGCAGGGAUGUUACGGGAGUGUCCAGCACGAGCCCGCUGGAAUCAACAGCAGAUUUUUUCCAUCCAUUUAUGCAAACCCUGACCACGUUAGAAACAAGCGUGCACGUCCUCAGCGGCAGCAGAAGCCCGCCGGGCUCAAGGGUCCCGCAACAGGAGGCGAUCCGCUGGCCUGUGGUGGAGAAGCCGUCCCUACAGCACACAGAGGGAGGAACAGCCUGGGGAGAAAGCUCCCUCUGCUAUUUCAUGGGUGGGAGGUUCAAGCGCACAGCGUGCUCAGGAACAUUUUGUGAGGCUGGGGUGGCUAAAUGGAGUUUCGAAACGCGCAUUUUUCUUUGCAAAACGGGGUGGAAAAUCCUGUUUAGGGAAGCAGAGCCCAACGCGGUUGAAUAGAAAAUAGUCCAGCUAUAAAAAGCAUCACUGCCUUUCUCUGGAACAUAUAAAGGGCUCGGUUCAGCAGCACGCGCGAUGCUUCGCUGACCUGGGGUCCCCAAAUUAUUUGCGUUGUCGCAGGACAGGGGCAUGGCUCGAAACCACUUGACAGGCCCUUUUGUGGAGCUGCCUGAUUUACCUUCGGCAGGGCAAAAGAGGGAGCUCAUGCUACAACAAGAGGACAAAGGAUUCAGCAGAUAAGGCUCUACUGAGGAGUGAGGAGGAUCCCAAUAUCGCCAGCACCUGAAGCUUCCCUGGUGCGGUCAGGGCUGCCUGAGGAUCUCCGCAGCUGAGGGGCCUCCCACUGAAACAAAUUUGUUUCAACAGUUGAAGGCUGUUUGCUAAAUUGCUGAUUAUAUGAUAAGUUCUUGAUUUGGGGUAAAUCUUUGAAGUUUAUCAACUUAUUGAAAAUGCUCACUAAUAGAUUUAUUUCCUCCUUGCUUUCUCCCAUCCAUCCCCCCAUUCUUCUCCCAGUACAUGAAAAACGCCAACAUCAGCCCAGUGGACAGAGAAGUAUGGGCUUUAGGCAAGAGGAGAAAUCAGGAAAAUUUUUGGAAUGUAUUUCAAUAAAUACUGACUAAAACAAUGAUGGAAGUAGGUUUCUUUGCAUCUCGAAGUAGAGAAUGCUCUCAAUACACUCCAGUAAGCGAUUUCCCAUUUUGUGCAUGUAUCUUAUAUUUCCCUCAUUUUAGUUGGAGCUUUGCUUUGCAGACGGGUGCCAGGUGUGCGUUGAGCAGCUCUUUUGCCCUGCUGUUUGAAGGCCCCAUGCCACGCUCCCUCCCAAGCAUCCCUCAGCCCCUGGUGGGGCUCCUUGAGUACUGGGGGGCGCCGCAGGCAGAGCACUCAUCCCCUAUCCAAACCCUCGUCCUAUCUCAGCCUGAGCUUUUGCUCCGUCCUGCAGCGUGUGGCAUCUUCAGGCUUGUUUCAGACACGCGCAGAGCUUUAAGUAGCCCUCUCUUCGUUUACCUGGGGCUUGUUUGGAGCUGAAUCUGUAGGCAGAUGAAAGCAGUGUGGAUGCCUCUCACCCUCCUCUGAAGCUGGUUGGGGGAUGAGCAGAGUAAAAAUGACCCCGUACAGAUUUUUAAAAAAGGGAAAAAUUCUUGAAUCAACACUAAAACUUUCACAUCCUUGUAAUAUUCUGGGUAAAUGCUGCUUCUGAAAGGGAAGGCAGGGCUGUGUGGCCAGUGCAGUCCUUCUGCUGCUGGCACGGCCUCUCUCUGGAGAGAUUUGGCACAGCCAGAGCUCCCCAGCUCGUGCUCCUGCAUCUGAGCUAAUGUUACCACCAGCUACUUGUUUCGCGGUGGUUCUCCAUCUGAGGAGAUCACUGUCCAGAGAGGGAUAAAGGGUUCCUUUCUUCUGGGUAACAUCUGAAAUCGCAGCCUGGGCUUUGGUAACUGGAUACUGGUGGCUUCAGUUCUUCCGAUAAGGAGAAUGCUUCUUUCCCUUGUUGUUGCUAAUCCUGGGAGCAGAGAUCAGUUGCAGUGCAGGUGUCUGAUUUUCAUUAAAAUUGCAAAUUGGGCUGGAUGCUUGAUCAGAUAACAAAGACAUCAUUGAAACCAUGUGUCUUCCUUCAGCAGCAGAACCGGGGACAAGACAAAGAAUUUCCCAGUGUGUGUCCACUUGUGCAUAUUUACUGCAGAGAGCCAGUCUUAAUACUGUGGUCAUGGGUGAAUAAAUGGCUUCUAAGAAAUGCCAACCCAAUCAAACUUGCUGCAGCUUUGCAACAGCUUUUGAGUUGAAUAGAAGAACUACAGUGUUAGCCCUUUGGGGAAAGUACAGGAUGUUCUCAAAGGAAAUCGAUUAACUGUAGCAUCUCUUUGGUCCCAAUUUGGGGGAUCUUCCCUUUUUAGCCAAACACUUAAGUGUUUUCUCAGCUCUACGCAUGAGCUUAAGUGCUUUGAUGGAAAGGACGGACUUUCACACAUGCUGCUGUCUGCUCCAGAAUCGAGACAAUGUGCUUUUCACUAUGGGAAAGAGAACGAGUUGGACAGAGAGGUCCAACCCCUCAUUCUGUUUGGAAAUUAUAUGCAAAAAGAUCGCCUGGAGCAGGGAAGAGCGGGGGCUGAUGGCACAUGGUGUUUGGAAAGGAAGUUCCUCAUCCAAGGUCCUCUUGACAGCCAAACAAAGCGGUUCUGAAGGAAACUCACAGAUGUUGUCUUUCCCAAGACAGCGUCUUCUGGCAGAUGCCAGGGUUUGCACAGCUUCAUGUCUUCUUUCAGCCGUGGUCCUCUGCUCCUCUUCUUCAUGGCAAGGCACCUGUGAGCUUCCCUUAGUGGAUGAAGGGAAGCAAAAUCCCAUCCAACCCAAAAUAUUAGGUGUGAAGUAUGUAGGAUAGGCUCACCUUAAUCCUUUAAAAGCUCCAGAAACCAUGACCAGUGGGAAAGGUGCUGAGGUCAGAUGGGUACCUGGUGUUAGAGGAAGAUGGAAUGAUCUUAUCUUGGCCAUAGGAAGGGUUGGAUGCAACCAGGGCAUAAUGCAUCUAAAUUCACCGAUUUAGGGGUGAAAGAAACUGUUCCUGCGAGGCUGCUGGGUUUUCUCUAGAGGAAGGACACGGUAUGGAUGCUGCUUGCCAUGUGAGCACAUUUGGGCAGGGGCAGGUAGCUGUGAUGCAGGAGCCAGCCCCACACCAGCAUCCUGCCCGCUGGUAAAGCAGGGCCAAGUUCGGCUCUGCUCCACCACCCUGAGAAACAGCUGAACUUCUUACCCCAAAACGCUGCGAAAAGCCUAUGAAAGACUGUGAAACAUUUUGUUUUCUGAGCAAUGGCCAUGAUUUGAAUAUUACAGAAAUAUGCAAGGAAUUUCUCUGGGACUACGACAGGCGGUGCAGACGUCCAGGCUGAUUGCUCUGACAGCUUCCCAUGCAACGAGUGCCCGCUCUUACUGUUCGUUGUCAUCCCUUGGUAAACGGGAGGUAAUCUGAAGAUAUUUUCAUUCCUCUCCGAGCAUCACUUGGGAUAUCUGCAGAAUCACUCAGCGUCACAAUUCCAAGAAAUCUGCCAGGGUUGUGCUGUGAAGUUUGCUUUGGAUAAGAAAGGACUCGAAAGGUCAUAGAUUAUCCCGGGACAUAUCAAAACAUGCAUUAAAAAUUUCCAUGUUCUUGAACUCGUGGUGAAAGUCAGCCACAUUCGCUCAUUUUUGUGCAAGUUUUAAACUCGAGGGACCUUCUCUCUGCUUGCCAGCGUGUCAGCGUGUCGAGAGGGGAGGUGGAAACCGCGUGCUGCUCCCUGUGUGUGUCCUGCAGAGGGGAAAUGCGUGCAGGGGAUGGGCAGGGGAUGCUUCAGGCUGCGGCAUGUGGGAAACCUCAGGCCCCAAAUAGGACCACAUAGAGUUACAGUGUUAAUUAGCACGGAGGAGCAGGGUGUGCGGCUGUUCAGGCGUCAUGUGUAACCUUCUCUUAUGGCAGUGGAAAUCUGGCAGGAAGCUGCUGGGGAGCGGUAAGUCGGCUGGGCCAGGAGCCCCGUUCCAAACGAGCAGGUGGUGUUCAAGGGCAGCAGCGGGCUGGGAGCUGAGUUUUGGGAAGCGAUUGCUGUCAUCAGGGUGGGGAGAAUGCUCUGUGCUCUGGCUCCGCUCUGUGUAUCGCCUGGAGGGAUGAAUGCUGCAGUGGAGCCGACAUCACCAUCCUCACCCUUUGCUUUAACUUACUGGGAUUUCUGGCCUCUUCAAUGUGCAGCAGCAGGAUUUUGCUGGUUUCUUCACUGCCAUUCCUCUUACUACCUCUUACAAUAACCUUUUUUUUCAUGAGUAAGGUGAAGGUGGUGCACGGUGGCACGCCGUGACGUGGAGAUGCUCCUGCUGCACCUACAGAGACAGUGUCAGAGGAUGCUGGUGUGGAAAUAAACGUUGCAGCACAUACCGUGUGCCGACCACUCAUUUAAUUGCCUUUGUAAACCUUUCCCACCCCCCUGGUUCAGACAUGUUGUCAGAGGAUCUCUUCUAACCGCAGAAGAAUGGCGGAGAGGCAGAUGAAAUCAUCGCUGGGCAGGAGGUUGCAAGCAACAGCCACCAGAUCAGUCGAAGCCCCCUGGCCAAAACUAUCUAAUAAAGAGAAGUGGGCCGGAACGCCAACACCAGUG